CGGCGGACGGGUGAGUAACACGUGGGUAACCUGCCUGUAAGACUGGGAUAACUCCGGGAAACCGGGGCUAAUACCGGAUGGUUGUUUGAACCGCAUGGUUCAGACAUAAAAGGUGGCUUCGGCUACCACUUACAGAUGGACCCGCGGCGCAUUAGCUAGUUGGUGAGGUAACGGCUCACCAAGGCGACGAUGCGUAGCCGACCUGAGAGGGUGAUCGGCCACACUGGGACUGAGACACGGCCCAGACUCCUACGGGAGGCAGCAGUAGGGAAUCUUCCGCAAUGGACGAAAGUCUGACGGAGCAACGCCGCGUGAGUGAUGAAGGUUUUCGGAUCGUAAAGCUCUGUUGUUAGGGAAGAACAAGUGCCGUUCAAAUAGGGCGGCACCUUGACGGUACCUAACCAGAAAGCCACGGCUAACUACGUGCCAGCAGCCGCGGUAAUACGUAGGUGGCAAGCGUUGUCCGGAAUUAUUGGGCGUAAAGGGCUCGCAGGCGGUUUCUUAAGUCUGAUGUGAAAGCCCCCGGCUCAACCGGGGAGGGUCAUUGGAAACUGGGGAACUUGAGUGCAGAAGAGGAGAGUGGAAUUCCACGUGUAGCGGUGAAAUGCGUAGAGAUGUGGAGGAACACCAGUGGCGAAGGCGACUCUCUGGUCUGUAACUGACGCUGAGGAGCGAAAGCGUGGGGAGCGAACAGGAUUAGAUACCCUGGUAGUCCACGCCGUAAACGAUGAGUGCUAAGUGUUAGGGGGUUUCCGCCCCUUAGUGCUGCAGCUAACGCAUUAAGCACUCCGCCUGGGGAGUACGGUCGCAAGACUGAAACUCAAAGGAAUUGACGGGGGCCCGCACAAGCGGUGGAGCAUGUGGUUUAAUUCGAAGCAACGCGAAGAACCUUACCAGGUCUUGACAUCCUCUGACAAUCCUAGAGAUAGGACGUCCCCUUCGGGGGCAGAGUGACAGGUGGUGCAUGGUUGUCGUCAGCUCGUGUCGUGAGAUGUUGGGUUAAGUCCCGCAACGAGCGCAACCCUUGAUCUUAGUUGCCAGCAUUCAGUUGGGCACUCUAAGGUGACUGCCGGUGACAAACCGGAGGAAGGUGGGGAUGACGUCAAAUCAUCAUGCCCCUUAUGACCUGGGCUACACACGUGCUACAAUGGACAGAACAAAGGGCAGCGAAACCGCGAGGUUAAGCCAAUCCCACAAAUCUGUUCUCAGUUCGGAUCGCAGUCUGCAACUCGACUGCGUGAAGCUGGAAUCGCUAGUAAU
rnacentral:rRNA from 1 species